UGACUUUGUAGGAUCCCAGGAAGCCAGA
rnacentral:piRNA from 1 species